AUAAAUUGCAGUGGCAAGGUUCUACAAAUGGGGCUCAGUAUCUUCUCUCCCCUGUCAUGGCCUUGAUGUCCUGCUCCAGGAUGUGUGUGCCAGAGCCCCAGGGAUUGUGUGUGUGGACACAAGAAAUGCUGUAUUUCUCACCACUGAAGGCAGUGACGAGGAGCUGCAAGGCACCAAAUGAGUGCUGAGUGAUCCCUGCUCUAGGGGUGUUGUAAACCAAGUGCAGAGCAGACUCUGUUGCAGCUUUGCAGGAAUCUGC
rnacentral:lncRNA from 12 species